rnacentral:misc_RNA from 1 species
CCGAGUUAGGGUCUUCAUGGCCUGACCUCCAACCCUAUGUCUACUAUACCGUGUUGCUUUGGCGGGUCCGCCCUUUGGGGCCGCCGGGGGCUUUACUGCUCCUGGCCUGCGCCUGUCAGUAGCCUUCUUAAAUUCUUUUUAUAACUGUGUUGUCUGAGUCCAAAUAUCAAAUCAUUUUA